AGAGUUUGAUCCUGGCUCAGAUUGAACGCUGGCGGCAUGCCUUACACAUGCAAGUCGAACGGUAACGCGGGGCAACCUGGCGACGAGUGGCGAACGGGUGAGUAAAGCAUCGGAACGUGCCCAGUAGUGGGGGAUAGCCCGGCGAAAGCCGGAUUAAUACCGCAUACGACCUAAGGGUGAAAGGGGGGGAUCGCAAGACCUCUCGCUAUUGGAGCGGCCGAUGUCAGAUUAGCUAGUUGGUGGGGUAAAAGCUCACCAAGGCGACGAUCUGUAGCUGGUCUGAGAGGACGACCAGCCACACUGGGACUGAGACACGGCCCAGACUCCUACGGGAGGCAGCAGUGGGGAAUUUUGGACAAUGGACGAAAGUCUGAUCCAGCCAUGCCGCGUGCGGGAAGAAGGCCUUCGGGUUGUAAACCGCUUUUGUCAGGGAAGAAAUCCUUUGAGCUAAUACCUCGGGGGGAUGACGGUACCUGAAGAAUAAGCACCGGCUAACUACGUGCCAGCAGCCGCGGUAAUACGUAGGGUGCAAGCGUUAAUCGGAAUUACUGGGCGUAAAGCGUGCGCAGGCGGUUAUGUAAGACAGAGGUGAAAUCCCCGGGCUCAACCUGGGAACUGCCUUUGUGACUGCAUAGCUUGAGUGCGGCAGAGGGGGAUGGAAUUCCGCGUGUAGCAGUGAAAUGCGUAGAUAUGCGGAGGAACACCGAUGGCGA
rnacentral:rRNA from 1 species